AACGAACGCUGGCGGCAGGCCUAACACAUGCAAGUCGAACGUGAAGCCACCUUCGGGUGGUGGAAAGUGGCAGACGGGUGAGUAACGCGUGGGAACGUGCCUUUCGGUUCGGAAUAACCCAGGGAAACUUGGGCUAAUGCCGGAUACGCCCUCCGGGGGAAAGAUUUAUCGCCGAAAGAUCGGCCCGCGUCGGAUUAGCUUGUUGGUGGGGUAAAAGCCUACCAAGGCGACGAUCCGUAGCUGGUCUGAGAGGAUGAUCAGCCACACUGGGACUGAGACACGGCCCAGACUCCUACGGGAGGCAGCAGUGGGGAAUAUUGGACAAUGGGCGCAAGCCUGAUCCAGCAAUGCCGCGUGUGUGAAGAAGGCCUGCGGGUUGUAAAGCACUUUUAUCGUGAAAGAAAAUCCCAGGGUUAAUACCCCUGGGCCUUGACGGUACCCGAAGAAUAAGCACCGGCUAACUCCGUG
rnacentral:rRNA from 1 species